AGCGCGCCCCGACCUGAGUGGAGCUCUUUUUGUUUUUCUAAAAAACAAAAAAAGCGGGAACGGAGGGCGGAUAAAGGC
rnacentral:misc_RNA from 1 species